UACUGAUCAUAACACAAGACUUUAAAUGGGAACAUAAUUGCUAUACCUCGAUAUAUAGAUGAUUCACUCCAAUCAGUAGCAAACUUCUUACCUAGUAUUAUUUCCCUUGGGCGAGACAUAGUAAGAAACUACACUCAUUAAGGCCGUCAAAAGGCCGACAAGUAAAACAACGAGACCACCCAUUAGAAUGCAAAUUACCUACUUUCAAUA